rnacentral:lncRNA from 1 species
AGCUGGUGAGGAAGGUGUCAGUAUUGUUGAGAAGCCCAGUGGUGCUGUCCUUUAUGGGCAGGGUUGACAGUAGGAGAUGCUGUAAUUGUGCCUCCCAGGAGCAAUGUGGAUGAUAGGAUUUUAGAAUAGCAGAGGCCAACAGACAGCACUUAACCAAUGGAAAUUAGAAGGGCAUAAUUAGCAUAAUGCAAAGCAACUUGGGAUGACAGUCAGGGGAACCUGAUCCACAGGGAUUUACGGUGAUGGCUAAUAGAACAUGAUGUCCAUAAGAAUGGGAAAGAUGGGAACUCAGUGACAAUAUUAUUAAUAUACAUACCCUAAGAAAUCAAGAACAGACAAGCAGAAAACAAGAAGCUGACCCAACAGGAAGUCUCCUGAUCUUGCCCAGUUUCCAGACCGAAGUCAUUUCUCAGUUACAGCAUCUACAGACAGAGAGUCCAGAGCCCCAUGAAGAAAGACUCUACCACAGUGUGUACGGUAAUUCUCCCUCCGACCUUCCUUAAAGGGACCUCCAGAAAUUACUCAGGAUCACAUUGAGGACCCUGAAGAGCCUGAAGAGGAAUUGCAUACCUUCUAUUAUUGCUGUUCGCUGUGGAUUGAAGUGCGUCUCUCCAAAAUCCAUAUGUUGAAGCACUAACCCCCGAUGUGACUGUAUUUGGAGAUCAGCCCUUUAAGAUGGUAAGUAAGUUUAAAUAAGAUCACAAGAGUGGAGCCUUAAUCCAAAAGGACUGGUGUCUUUUUUUUUUUUUUUUUGGUAGGUUUUGCCAUGUUGCCCAGGCUGGUCUCAAACUCCUGGCCCCAAGGGAUCCAUCCACCUUGUGUAAGACUGGAGCUGACAUCCAUCCAUCAGUCUUGUGUAAGACUGGAGCUGACAUUCACACCGUAGGCUGGGCCUCCCAGUUAUGACUGCUUUGCUGUCUCACUUACUGCAUGUUAUCCCAUCCUUCUGGAUGUGUGGCAAUCCUCGCCACGUGGCAAGGGCACAGCUGGCUAAACUGGCAGCUAUGCUUUGGAGCUCAUGACAGAUGUCUAUCGAGAGUAAAGAUGAGGAGAUUUAUUAGAAAACUAUCAAGAUUUUGGAGUGUGUUGGUCACUUUUGGAAGCCUUGAAAGGUCUUGCCUGACUCUCCCUCCCCAGGGUCAGAAGCAGAGCCCUAGAGAAAAGCCAGUGAGCCUAAGGGGGGCGGGUGUUAAUGGUAGAAACCCUCACAUCUGUGCCAGGCUCAGGUUCAGAGACCAACACACAAAAUGCUAUAGGCUUCUUAUACCUUCCCUAGAAAUUAAAGCCAAAAUGUCUAGCAACCCAAUCGGGUUUCAAGGAAGCUGAAGAACCUUGUAUUAGUAUGUUCUCACACUGCUAAUAAAGACAUACCUGAGACUGGGUAAUUUAUAAAGGAAAGAGGUUUGAUGGACUCACAGUUCCACAUGGCUGGGGAGGCCUCACAGUCAUGGCGGAAGGUGAAAGGCAUGCCUUACAUGGUGGCAGCAGGCAAAGAGAGAAUGAGAGCCAAGUACAAAGGGAAAGCCCUUAUAAAACCAUCAGAUCUCGUGAGACCUAUUCACUAACACGAGAACAGUAUGAGGGAAACCACCCCCAUGAUUUAAUUAUCUCCCACCAGGUCCCUCUCACAAUACAUGGGAAUUAAGGAAGCUACAAUUCAAGAUGAGAUUUGGAUGGGGACACAGCCAAACCAUAUCAAACAUUUACUAGGCCUGAGAAAAAGUGGCUUAUAUUUGCUGACUCCCUCAGGUGGGUCCUGAUCACGCAAGGUACCAACAACAGAGAAUGGGCUACCAAGCCUGAGCAAGCUUCAAAAGAGAAAAACCUCCUGAGUGCUGUUCUCACACAUGACCAUGGGAGGAAUAUGUAAGGCACAGACUUCUGGGGCUGCUAGAUGGGUUAACCAGGAUGCUCGUCCGCAUGCCUGGAUCGGGGACCUCCCAACUCUAUUCCUGUCUUUGACAUCAGAUCAAUGUGGGUAGAAAUUAACAAGUCUCCUUGCAAAAUAAAAUAUAUAUAUAUUUGAAAUUAAAACAUUAAAUCAUAAAUGAGUGUAAUUUAUUGAAAGAAUAGCACAAUACAAGGG